rnacentral:rRNA from 1 species
GAUGAACGCUGGCGGCGUGCCUAAUACAUGCGAGUCGAGCGAACAGACGAGGAGCUUGCUCCUCUGACGUUAGCGGCGGACGGGUGAGUAACACGUGGAUAACCUACCUAUAAGACUGGGAUAACUUCGGGAAACCGGAGCUAAUACCGGAUAAUAUAUUGAACCGCAUGCUUCAAUAGUGUAAGACGGUUUUGCUGUCACUUAUAGAUGGAUCCGCGCCGCAUUAGCUAGUUGGUAAGGUAACGGCUUACCAAGGCAACGAUGCGUAGCCGACCUGAGAGGGUGAUCGGCCACACUGGAACUGCGACAAGGUCCAGACUCCUACGGGAGGCAGCAGUAGGGAAUCUUCCGCAAUGGGCGAAAGCCUGACGGAGCAACGCCGCGUGAUGGAUGAAGGUCUUCGGAUCGUAAAACUCUGUUAUUAGGGAAGAACAAAUGUGUAAGUAACUAUGCACGUCUUGACGGUACCUAAACAGAAAGCCACGGCUAACUACGUG